UACAGAGGUCCCAAGCGUUGUUCGGAUUCACUGGGCGUAAAGGGUGUGUAGGCGGUCGGGUAAGUCUGAUGUGAAAUCUCUGGGCUCAACUCAGAGUCUGCUGCAGAAACUGCCGUGCUUGAGUGUGGGAGAGGUGAGUGGAAUUCCCGGUGUAGCGGUGAAAUGCGUAGAUAUCAGGAGGAACACCUGUGGCGAAAGCGGCGCACUGGACCACAACUGACGCUGAGGCGCGAAAGCUAGGGGAGCAAACAGG
rnacentral:rRNA from 1 species